rnacentral:rRNA from 1 species
AUUGAACGCUGGCGGCAGGCCUAACACAUGCAAGUCGAGCGGAUGAAGGGAGCUUGCUCCUGGAUUCAGCGGCGGACGGGUGAGUAAUGCCUAGGAAUCUGCCUGGGAGUGGGGGAUAACGUCCGGAAACGGGCGCUAAUACCGCAUACGUCCUGAGGGAGAAAGUGGGGGAUCUUCGGCCCUCACGCUAUCAGAUGAGCCUAGGUCGGAUUAGCUAGUUGGUGGGGUAAAGGCCUACCAAGGCGACGAUCCGUAACUGGUCUGAGAGGAUGAUCAGUCACACUGUAACUGAGACACGGUCCAGACUCCGACGGGAGGCAGCAGUGGGGAAUAUUGGACAAUGGGCGAAAGCCUGAUCCAGCCAUGCCGCGUGUGUGAAGAAGGUCUUCGGAUUGUAAAGCACUUUAAGUUGGGAGGAAGGGCAGUAAGUUAAUACCUUGCUGUUUUGACGUUACCAACAGAAUAAGCACCGGCUAACUUCGUG